UACGAAGGGGGCUAGCGUUGCUCGGAAUCACUGGGCGUAAAGGGUGCGUAGGCGGGUUUUUAAGUCAGGGUGAAAUCCUGGAGCUCAACUCCAGAACUGCCUUUGAUACUGAAGAUCUUGAGUCCGGGAGAGGUGAGUGGAACUGCGAGUGUAGAGGUGAAAUUCGUAGAUAUUCGCAAGAACACCAGUGGCGAAGGCGGCUCACUGGCCCGGUACUGACGCUGAGGCACGAAAGCGUGGGGAGCAAACAGGG
rnacentral:rRNA from 1 species